ACACACCGCCCGUCACCACCAUGGGAGCCGGUAAUACCCGAACGUCAGUAGUCCAACCUCGUGAGGACGCUGCCGAAGGUAGGAUUGGCGACUGGGGUGAAGUCGUAACAAGGUAAC
rnacentral:rRNA from 1 species